UGGCGGCGUGCUUAACACAUGCAAGUCGAACGGAAAGGUCUCUUCGGAGACACUCGAGUGGCGAACGGGUGAGUAACACGUGGGCAAUCUGCCCUGCACACCGGGAUAAGCCUGGGAAACUGGGUCUAAUACCGGAUAGGACCACUUGGCGCAUGCCUUGUGGUGGAAAGCUUUUGCGGUGUGGGAUGGGCCCGCGGCCUAUCAGCUUGUUGGUGGGGUGACGGCCUACCAAGGCGACGACGGGUAGCCGGCCUGAGAGGGUGUCCGGCCACACUGGGACUGAGAUACGGCCCAGACUCCUACGGGAGGCAGCAGUGGGGAAUAUUGCACAAUGGGCGCAAGCCUGAUGCAGCGACGCCGCGUGGGGGAUGACGGCCUUCGGGUUGUAAACCUCUUUCACCAUCGACGAAGGUCCGGGUUCUCUCGGAUUGACGGUAGGUGGAGAAGAAGCACCGGCCAACUACGUGCCAGCAGCCGCGGUAAUACGUAGGGUGCGAGCGUUGUCCGGAAUUACUGGGCGUAAAGAGCUCGUAGGUGGUUUGUCGCGUUGUUCGUGAAAUCUCACGGCUUAACUGUGAGCGUGCGGGCGAUACGGGCAGACUAGAGUACUGCAGGGGAGACUGGAAUUCCUGGUGUAGCGGUGGAAUGCGCAGAUAUCAGGAGGAACACCGGUGGCGAAGGCGGGUCUCUGGGCAGUAACUGACGCUGAGGAGCGAAAGCGUGGGGAGCGAACAGGAUUAGAUACCCUGGUAGUCCACGCCGUAAACGGUGGGUACUAGGUGUGGGUUUCCUUCCUUGGGAUCCGUGCCGUAGCUAACGCAUUAAGUACCCCGCCUGGGGAGUACGGCCGCAAGGCUAAAACUCAAAGGAAUUGACGGGGGCCCGCACAAGCGGCGGAGCAUGUGGAUUAAUUCGAUGCAACGCGAAGAACCUUACCUGGGUUUGACAUGCACAGGACGCGUCUAGAGAUAGGCGUUCCCUUGUGGCCUGUGUGCAGGUGGUGCAUGGCUGUCGUCAGCUCGUGUCGUGAGAUGUUGGGUUAAGUCCCGCAACGAGCGCAACCCUUGUCUCAUGUUGCCAGCGGGUAAUGCCGGGGACUCGUGAGAGACUGCCGGGGUCAACUCGGAGGAAGGUGGGGAUGACGUCAAGUCAUCAUGCCCCUUAUGUCCAGGGCUUCACACAUGCUACAAUGGCCGGUACAAAGGGCUGCGAUGCCGCGAGGUUAAGCGAAUCCUUUUAAAGCCGGUCUCAGUUCGGAUCGGGGUCUGCAACUCGACCCCGUGAAGUCGGAGUCGCUAGUAAUCGCAGAUCAGCAACGCUGCGGUGAAUACGUUCCCGGGCCUUGUACACACCGCCCGUCACGUCAUGAAAGUCGGUAACACCCGAAGCCAGUGGCCUAACCCUCGGGAGGGAGCUGUCGAAGGUGGGAUCGGCGAUU
rnacentral:rRNA from 1 species